GUACCCUCGAUGGCGAAGAUCUUCUCCUGCAGCUGGUUCUGGAUGCCCUGCAGGGCGUCGAAGUUGUCCACGCGGAAGAUGUGGUCCUCGGGGGGCGCCGAGGCGAUGGCCUGGAGCUCGGCCAGGGCCUCGCGGUCCUGGAAGGCGUCGCCCACCUGCGGACGGGGAGGGGGGACGGAUGGAGAUGUUCUGGAGAUGGUCUAGAACGUCUGGGUGGGGUUGGGUGGAUGGAUGGAGAUGUUUUGGGAUGGUUGGAGAUGUUCUGGAGAUGUUCUAGAACAUUUGGGGAUGGUUGGAUGGAUGGAUGGAGAUGUUUUGGGAUGGAAGGAGAUGUUUCGGAGAUGUUCUAGAACAUCUAGGAGGGGUCAGAUGGAUGGAUGGAGAUGUUUGGAGGUGGAUGGAGAUGUUCUGGAGAUGUUCUAGAACGUCUGGAGAUGGUUGGGUGGAUGGUUGACAUGUUUGGGAUGGAUGGAGAUGUUUGGAGAUGUUCUAGAACAUCUGGGAGCAGUUGGGUGGAUGGAUGGAGAUAUUUUGGGAUGGAGGGAGAUGUUCUGGAGAUGUUCUAAAACAUCUGGAGAUGGUUGGGUGGAUGGAUGGAGAUGUUUGGAGAUGUUCUGGAACAUCUGGAGAUGGUUGGGUGGAUGGAUGGAGAUAUUUUGGGAUGGAGGGAGAUGUUUGGAGAUGUUCUAGAACAUCUGGAGAUGGUUGGGUGGAUGGAUGGAGAUGUUUGGAGGUGGGUGGAGAUGUUUGGAGAUGUUCUAAAACAUCUGGAGAUGGUUGGGUGGAUGGAUGGAGAUAUUUUGGGAUGGAUGGAGAUGUUCUGGAGAUGUUCUGGAACAUCUGGGAGGGGUUGGGUGGAUGGUUGAGAUAUUUGGAGGUGGAUGGAGAUGUCUGGAGAUGUUCUAGAACAUCUGGGGAUGGUUGGAUGGAUGGAUGGAGAUGUUUUGGAGAUGUUCUGGAGAUGUUCUAGAACAUCUGGGAGAAUUUGGAUGGACGGAUGGAGAUGUUUUGGGAUGAUGGAGAUGUUCUGGAGAUGUUCUGGAACAUCUGGGAGAAUUUGGACGGCCGGAUGGCGAUAUUUGGGGACGGACGGCGAUAUUUGGGGACCCCUCACCCCGAUGGCGUAGCGCGUC
rnacentral:lncRNA from 1 species